rnacentral:rRNA from 1 species
GACGAACGCUUGCGGCGUGCUUAACACAUGCAAGUCGAACGGAAAGGCCCUGCUUUUGUGGGGUGCUCGAGUGGCGAACGGGUGAGUAACACGUGAGUAACCUGCCCUUGACUUUGGGAUAACUUCAGGAAACUGGGGCUAGUACCGGAUAGGAGCUCCUGCUGCAUGGUGGGGGUUGGAAAGUUUCGGCGGUUGGGGAUGGACUCGCGGCUUAUCAGCUUGUUGGUGGGGUAGUGGCUUACCAAGGCUUUGACGGGUAGCCGGCCUGAGAGGGUGACCGGCCACAUUGGGACUGAGAUACGGCCCAGACUCCUACGGGAGGCAGCAGUGGGGAAUAUUGCACAAUGGGCGGAAGCCUGAUGCAGCAACGCCGCGUGCGGGAUGACGGCCUUCGGGUUGUAAACCGCUUUCGCCUGUGACGAAGCGUGAGUGACGGUAAUGGGUAAAGAAGCACCGGCUAACUACGUGCCAGCAGCCGCGGUGAUACGUAAGGUGCGAGCGUUGUCCGGAUUUAUUGGGCGUAAGGGCUCGUAGGUGGUUGAUCGCGUCGGAAGUGUAAUCUUGGGGCUUAACCCUGAGCGUGCUUUCGAUACGGGUUGACUUGAGGAAGGUAGGGGAGAAUGGAAUUCCUGGUGGAGCGGUGGAAUGCGCAGAUAUCAGGAGGAACACCAGUGGCGAAGGCGGUUCUCUGGGCCUUUCCUGACGCUGAGGAGCGAAAGCGUGGGGAGCGAACAGGCUUAGAUACCCUGGUAGUCCACGCUGUAAACGGUGGGUACUAGGUGUGGGGUCCAUUCCACGGGUUCCGUGCCGUAGCUAACGCUUUAAGUACCUCGCCUGGGGAGUACGGCCGCAAGGCUAAAACUCAAAGGAAUUGACGGGGCCCCGCACAAGCGGCGGAGCAUGCGGAUUAAUUCGAUGCAACGCGUAGAACCUUACCUGGGUUUGACAUGGAUCGGGAGUGCUCAGAGAUGGGUGUGCCUCUUUUGGGGUCGGUUCACAGGUGGUGCAUGGCUGUCGUCAGCUCGUGUCGUGAGAUGUUGGGUUAAGUCCCGCAACGAGCGCAACCCUUGUUCACUGUUGCCAGCACGUUAUGGUGGGGACUCAGUGGAGACCGCCGGGGUCAACUCGGAGGAAGGUGGGGAUGACGUCAAGCCAUCAUGCCCCUUAUGUCCAGGGCUUCACGCAUGCUACAAUGGCUGGUACAGAGAGUGGCGAGCCUGUGAGGGUGAGCGAAUCUCGGAAAGCCGGUCUCAGUUCGGAUUGGGGUCUGCAACUCGACCUCAUGAAGUCGGAGUCGCUAGUAAUCGCAGAUCAGCAACGCUGCGGUGAAUACGUUCCCGGG